rnacentral:lncRNA from 11 species
CAAAAUCACAAGUGGAACACUUCCCAAGUGUCUAGGACUGUGUGAUGUAUUAUUAUUAUUAUUAUUAUUAUUAUUAUUAUUAUUAUUAUUAUUAUUAUUAUUUCAUUUGCAGAAUUUGUCAAGGAAGAGCAAAAUCUUAAAAGAAGUUUUCAAGCUGGGCAGAAAGAAGAAGCCAUAAGCUCAAACCAGACGCUAAAUUCAGAGAGUCUUCAUGGGUCAAAGAAUGGCAGUAUGAAGUCCCUAAAAGAUCCAGAUCUGGAGAAAAGACCCGUAAAUAAAGAAAAUGCGAGUCCUCGGUGUCGUCCCACCAGUAAAGGACACUCAACUGACCACAAUGGAUGGAUGAGCCGCUCUUCCCAGCAAAGUGACUCUCCCAGAAACGAAGCCACUGAAAACUAUAAAAGGCAGAAGGGACGCUACAGCCCUGAAGAGCUGCGUGAGUUUAUGAAUCAAAAGAUGGUCGAGAGGAAAAGGAGGUCCCAGGAAGAGAAGGCGGCGUUGGAGCGAGCCCUCGAGGCAAGAAAGAAGAGGCUUCAGGAAGUGGAUCGGAAACACAAGGAAGCUUUCCAAAAGCCAAGGAAGAGGAUGGAGGCCCAGAGGUUUGGGACAGCUUCUGCAAUGGACGGCAAGGGUCUUCGAGGCCUGAGCGAAGCACACAGCAAGCAUCCACCAUCUGAAGUAAUGGAGAGAGUCGGCCAAGUGUCCUGCGCUCUGCUCCAAAAUGAGUCCGAAAUCAGGUCGAGCAUCAACAACUAUUCAAUAGGAAAGAUCCCCAGUGUCUUGAAGAUGACGACGGAUUCUCCUGGAAACGGCAGUCCUCUGAAACGGGGUGAUUUGGAUGUCCCUUCCUUUCUCAGUCCCGGAGAUUCAGGAAGCCCCGUUGGGUCCAAAAGGACAGAGAAUGCAAGCUUUUCGCCCCGUCGAAGCAAAGGAGACAGAGUGAGGGCCAUCCACAUCCUCGCGAGAGACCUCAGCGAGAGGCUCGAGAGAGAAACGGAAAGGUUUCGGGUCCGGAACAGGCCAACGGGUCCAGAAGACCAAAGAUGGGCUCCGUCUGAGAUGCCUUCAAAGGCUUUCGUUCCUCCAAGGGUCUCUUGGGAUCCAAGCCAGUUGUUCUAUCUUUCAACAAAAGCCCAAGAACGUGGAGAGAGAAGGUCCCUUGAAGAUGGUUGUCAAGCCCAUGCCUUUGUACCGACAUCUGACGAAGUCCAUGAUACAUCUCAUCUGAAAGUCAAACAAAGCAUGGUUGAUACGGGAGGUAUGGAUACAUCACUGGGUCAUCUUCUGCUAUGUAUUCCCUUAUUUUCUUGCAAAUUUUGGA